rnacentral:rRNA from 1 species
UACGUAGGUGGCAAGCGUUAUCCGGAAUUAUUGGGCGUAAAGCGCGCGUAGGCGGUUUCUUAAGUCUGAUGUGAAAGCCCACGGCUCAACCGUGGAGGGUCAUUGGAAACUGGGAAACUUGAGUGCAGAAGAGGAAGGUGGAAUUCCAUGUGUAGCGGUGAAAUGCGCAGAGAUAUGGAGGAACACCAGUGGCGAAGGCGACUUUCUGGUCUGUAACUGACGCUGAUGUGCGAAAGCGUGGGGAUCAAACAGGAUUAGAU